rnacentral:rRNA from 1 species
AGGACGAACGUUGGCGGUGCGCUUAAUGCAUGCAAGUCGAGGGAUAACCAGUCGUUCCGUAAGGUUCGGCUGGGGAAACCGGCGAACGGGUGCGUAACACGUGAGAAACCUGCCCCGAAGAUCGGGAUAGCCCGGGGAAACCCGGAUUAAUACCGAAUAUCCUCUUUGGACCACAUGGUCUUUUGAGGAAAUGGUCCGCCGCUUCGGGAUGGUCUCGCGGCCUAUCAGCUAGUUGGUGAGGUAAAGGCUCACCAAGGCAAAGACGGGUAGCUGGUCUGAGAGGACGAUCAGCCACACUGGGACUGAGACGCGGCCCAGACUCCUACGGGAGGCAGCAGCAGGGAAUAUUGCACAAUGGGCGAAAGCCUGAUGCAGCGACACCGCGUGCGGGAUGAAGGCCUUCGGGUUGUAAACCGCUUUCAGGAGGGACGAAAAUGACGGUACCUCCAGAAGAA